AUAAACAAGUUUGGGUAUCCUCUUUUUGAGAAGUUUUUUAACAAAUUUUUAGACUCUGUAGCUGAACCAUUUCAGUAUUCAUGUUUUAUGGGUAUCUAGUGUCCAUGUCCCGGCGAUUCACAAGUAGGGGCAAUUAACCAUGGGAGAAGGUUGCACCACUGUCCUCACAACCUUUUUGAGAAGUUUCUUUUUGAGAAGUUUUAUGGAAUGUUUCUAUGUUAUUGGGUUUAGGGUGAUUCUAUCUCGUGUGAAUUAACCAUUGGAGAAGGUUGUACCACUGUCCUCACAACCCAAGCUUCAACAAAGGUAUACAACAGUAUGGGAUCCAAGUGCUCUGAACAUGCGUUGGAGGUAAAAACCUUGCCUUAACAAAAUUACAUAUAAAAUAUUUAUUGUCACCGGCUACUACUUAAUUAACUUACAAAUAUUAUGUUAAAAUGCGAACUAGUAUGUCCUUGAGGAUGCUAAUUGUAUUUGGUCCCGUGGUUAUAAGUUGACAACUUUUUGGAGUUCAAGGGAUAUAAGGAAUAAAUGGUUGAUCUUCUUCUUCUUCUUCUUCUUCUUUUCAAUAUUCCUCUUUAUUCUUUUUAUUUUUAUUUUUGUAUAUGUUUAUUUUUUUGAUAGAAAGCAUAACUUUAUUGAUAAUCUCUAUAAAAGAGAAUGAAUACAAAGAGGAAUUUCCUCCAAAUUUAUGAGAACAUCAGUAUUACCUAAAGCACCCGAGACCACCUAGCCUCUUUGUCUUUUCCAUUUGAUCCCAGCUCACUCGAUGGAUCCUAGUUUCUUGUGCUUGUUGACCCCACCAAUAGUUCUUUGCAAUUUAUUGAGUUCUUGGAGUAGUUGCUUAGGAAGUUUGAAGGUUCCCAUGCAAUAAGUAGGUAUUGCUUGAAUCACAGAUUUUAGCAAUACUUCCUUACCUGCUUGAGAGGAAUUUUGUCUUCCAGUUACUCAACUUUGUCCUUAGUUUGUAUAUGUUUAUGGUUUAAUUAAUCCAUUUGCAAGGAGUUAGGUUAUAGGAGAUUUUCCUGUUGAAAUCACGAGAUGACUUCACUUAAUGAUACAAAGACUUGAUGAAGAUUUCCUUUUGAUUAUUUGUAUGACAAAUGAUUUUGAAGUGAUAAUGGUGAAUUAAUGACAUGAAAUAGGCAAGAAUCGGGAGUGAUGCUAUUUUGGCCGUUGUUCCAGACCCUGUAACUUGUUUUUCCAUGGCAAGAUACUCUCAGAAACAGGUCUUUAGGGUGGUUUCAGACUCGAAUAUGGUUAUUGUUUAUUGGAUUACCAGUGGACGCCAUGAAAGUGAAGAAAGAUGGGAUUUUGAUCUUUAUAAGAGCACAUACUCUUAGAAGGUGAUCUGCCUUUGUUUCUACUACGGUGCUUCUAGAGCGAGGAAGCAUUGCCUCAAUUGCAGAACGCAUGCAGGACUACCAAGUCAUUGCAAUGGUUGUUCUCUUUGGGCCAAAGAAGAAGCACAUUCAGAACCAAGUUCAAGAAGAUGUGAAGAAGAUAACGUCUGAGCAGUUACAUGUUCCUUCCUCUUCCUUGGGCCACCAACUAAUGAAUAAAUCCAAGCAUUACAUGAUGAAACCAAGCUUUAUUGCUUCGGCCAGUGUCUUUGGUCCAAAAGUAAUUUUCUCAGUUGGUGCUACCGAGGCUGCCAAUAAUAAGUUUUUAUGCUACACCUGCACAUCCCAUGUUUUCCUCAACCUUGAAUGAGAACUUACAGCUUGCUUACAGAGCUAAGUGGUAUGAAGUAAUUAUUUUCAUAACCUAACUAUAUGAAAGUUUUAUGCU